rnacentral:rRNA from 1 species
UACAGAGGAUGCAAGCGUUGUCCGGAAUCAUUGGGCGUAAAGCGCGCGUAGGUGGCUUCGUAAGUCCGUUGUGAAAGUCAAAGGCUCAACCUUUGAAAGCCGAUGGAUACUGUGAAGCUAGAGUACGGAAGAGGCGAGUGGAAUUCCUGGUGUAGCGGUGGAAUGCGCAGAUAUCAGGAGGAACACCAAUAGCGAAGGCAGCUCGCUGGGACGUUACUGACACUGAGGCGCGAAAGCGUGGGGAGCGAACAGG